UCUGGUGACAUGAUGGAACUUGGCUAUGUUCUCACCUGUCUCACAAAUGUGGACAACAGUUUCUAAAAUGUUCUUCUACAUGAAUGAGGGACAAGGUGCCUGCCUGUACUGACAUUAUUAACUCUGAUUAAUUUGCUUAAUAUCAUUGUACAUGUUGAAGAUAGAAGCAAUAGUGUACACACUGUGUGGUAUUUCUUACUGUACCCUGUGAUGCAUCUGCUUGUCAUUUUAUUUCCUCUGUCUUCAAAGUUGAGACGUAGAAGCCUGCCUCAAGUACUAUCACCAAGUAAGUCAGACCUGAAUAUGGCUGUGGCCCAAUGCAACUACGAACCCUUAGGAGAUUCAGCUAUCCGGCUUGUCAAAUGCAAUAAAUAUCAUGUAUUGCAAGAGGAAGAUUUUGCCUGGUGGAAAGUGAGAGAUUUGGAAGGGAAUGAAGGUUUUGUACCGAGCACUUACCUGAGAAAGUUAUCCCUGAAUGAUGAUGAGCCAAGGUGAAUCAAUAUGCAGCCAUCCACUGCUUAAAUGUUCUCCUCACCACUCUAGAAAGGAUCAGGCAACAUUUUUGGAAUAUUUUUCUUCUUAAGUAACUUUCUGAGUACUAACCAUAACAUUUACUGCAAGGUGUAGAAUCAAGUACAAUUUGUCUUCUUGACUCAUACAUUAAUACAAAAAACAUCAGUUGAAAAUCCUGGUUUCAUUUAAAUCAGGAGGGUUUGGCCACUGUCUUCAAUGUGCUGGGAUUUCAGUCUUUGUUGUCUUAUUUCAGCAUUAAAAUGUCACCCUUGCUAGCACUCUCAUGCAUCUCAUGCAAUAAGUAAGCAUUCCAGUACAGGGUAAAGUGAGUCUCAGUCUGUCAAAGUGAUAUAUCAGAUCUGAAUUUUUAGUAAGGUGAUAUGACAUUGUAAGUACUAAGCAUAUGCCAAAGUGUUUGAAUGAAAAUCUUACAGAAGCUUAGAAGAUUUUCUCAUAGUAAACCAUACUGGAUAAGAUUCAAAGGUUUCCUAUUUUUAAAACAAACAAACAACAACAACAACAAAAUGCAAUCACUAUAAUAAUAACGUGUAAAAAUCCAGAAUUAAUUAGAAUCACUAUUAUUUUUGCACAAAAGAUUAUUUUAGGGGUAUCUUUUUCUGUCACAUGAACUCUAUCUAUUGUCUGUCAUGCUAAGAAUAUUUAUUUGGGAAGUAUAUUACUGUACAGGUUUGGAAAUCUUCCAUGUAAAUUUUGAAACGGUAGAUGCAAUCUCUUCAUGAGGUCAGUGAAGGCAUAUAUAGUCUCAUUGCCUGCUACAACAUGCACAGAGCAGAUUUGUCUUUCCAAUACAUAACAUAGUGGAGAGGAAAGGCCAUGUAAAGUGUUUGCCAAGUCAGGAAAAAAAAAAAAAAAUUAAGUAUGUCUCAACAUUUUAAAUGUUCACUAUAGACCAUGGCAUAAUAGCAGCAAUUGCUCAAAAAAUAUAUAGUAUGACCUGAGGAAAGCAAUUUCCAUAACUAUUUUUUCACAAUUUCAGUAUAUUAUUUUGUCUUUGUAGGGAAAACUCAAGUGUCAAUGAGCACACAGCAUCAGAAGAGCAGAGUAUUGCACAGCACGAGUGAGUAUGUAGGAUAUGUCUUCGUGAGAACUGAAAAAUUCUUUGGGCCACUCCACUUUAUUCCACAGCCAUUCCACUUUAUGCAACUUCCUAGAACAAUGGAAUUCUAUACAUUGAUGUUAUAUUAAUGGUAAUAACUAUGUAUAUUGUCAGCAGCUUUGAGGUCAUCAUCAGCAUCACUACCCACAGGCUUCCAAAAGAAGGAAUGUAUUUGGUUUUGGAAAAAAAAAAAAAAAAAAAAGCUUUUGACAUUUAGACAAAUUAGUCUCCUACACUAGUAAGGUGUUAGGAGUUAUUCUCCAACCCUGUAAAAAGUUACUGUAAAAAGUUGAAGUCACAGAGUAGGCCCUGAUAUUUCAAAAUGAAGAGACACGUCAGAAGCACAUGGGAACUAGUGGUUUCCUUCUUAUCAUGGCCCAAAAUCACAAAUGCGUAACAAGUCUAAUUUCUGGCUUUUCAAAGCAGUUUUGAAAAUAUUUACAGUGUAUAGCAUUUUUCAUGAAUCUGUUGUGCCUUGUCUAGAAAUCAGGCUAUCAAUAACAAGCCCCAUAUUUCUCCUUGCAGUUGGUAUGCUGAUGGUAUCUCCCGUGCCCAGGCUGAGCAGCUGCUCCGUCAGAAGGUCCUGCAUAUCUUUUAUUGCUUGUAUAUGAAUAACUGUGUAAAUGUUUGUGUGCCAGUUGUCUUUGCUAUACUGUGUAGCUAGAGGAUGCUGAUGCUCUUCAAAUAGCUCUCGUAUUGCACAGUGCUGGAAACUCUUGUGCUAAUUUGGUACCGAUAAACAGAUCUCUAAAAUAAUGUCCAGAUGUGUUGAUGGCUCUUACACAGACAAACAAAUGAUACACUUCAAAAAUAGGCCUGGAGCAAAGCCAUAACAUGUACCUUUCCCCCCAUGGCUCUGCGUAUUGGUUUUAGCUCUAAGCCUCUGUUUGCUCCAGCGUGGCUCUUCCUGCAGAUCAGUCUAGAGGAGUUCUUUGUGUUAGUUUUAUAACAUGUGGAUAUGAAGUAAAACUUCACCCAGACGAGCAGGGAAACUUGAGCAAAACAGUGCUAUGCCUGCAGAUUGAGAGCAAAGACUAGAACUGCGGGGUGGCUCAGGUGUACCAGCCAUCACAAAAGACAACUGCAGAAGGAUUUAUCUGUGCACCUUUCUGCAGGAGAUCUAGCCUCAGCUGUGCUUUAGGCUUAGGUGUCCAGUGUAAACGAGUUAUUGUCUUUUCCCUUGGCAGCUGGUUGCUUUCUCACAGCUUCAGAAAUUGGCACUCAGCCACUAACUGCUUUGAGAAAACCCAAAUCUUUGUGAGCCUUGUCUCAAUGUCCUUUCCCUUAGACCUGUGCCACUGGUUCAGGAAUGAAGUUCAAGUGUGGCAAAUCAGAAAAGGGUCUAUGUCUCAGUCUGAACUUCACAACAAUGAAGCUUGGCCUCUAUGUGAAGUUCUGGAUGUCUUCUUUCAUCCCUGUACUAGCCAUUUCUAGCACAUCAGAGGUGUAGCUGCUAAAUCUCCCCUGCAAUAAAUCUGUAUCUAUGCACCACACAAAAAUGGCACAAUACUUGCUUCAUGUCUGGACUGAGGCACAACUCACCUAGUUUUAAACAUCUACAGUGGGAUACCACAACCAGUUACCUAGAUACCCUUUUUAGUGGAGAGAAAUAAGUAUUUCUAAGACAUAAUUUAUCUUGUCCUAAUUUACUACUUAAAGGAUGUCAUAUGAGUCACGUCUCCUCUCCUUUGUGGACAUUAUAGUAUAGAAAUCUAAAGUUCACUGGGGUGAAUCCCAACUUCAGUGUUUCUUGUAUUAUUAUUAUUAUUUUAAUAAUUAGGGAAAAGAAGGUGCUUUUUUGGUGCGGAAAUCUUCUAGCCAGGCAGGAACAUUUACUGUGUCUGUAUUCAGCAAGUUUCAAGAGUGAGUAUCCAAAGAAUGUAUAUCAUUUCUGUGAGCAUGCUAUGGACAUGCUACUUGGUGUGACUGGUCAUGAACAAAAUCUCUGCAGCCAUGUAGGGAAGGGAAGGGAAGGGAAGGGAAGGGAAGGGAAGGGAAGGGAAGGGAAGGGAAGGGUGUUGCAGUUCAUUCAGCAACUAAUUAAUCUAUUCAUGCAUGGUCUGGAAGGCACUUUGUAACACUCAAACAUACACAGCACUUUGUUGUGUUUUUCAGAAGUAAAAAAGGAACAGUCAAACAUUACCAUGUGCACAAAACCCCUCAGAACAAGUAUUACCUCGCUGAAAAUUACUGUUUUGAAUCAAUUCCCAUACUUAUACACUAUCACCAGCACAACUCAGCAGGUAAUCCUGUGUGCUCUUUCUAUUUGAUUGGUUUUGGCUUAGGCUUCUGGGCUUCUCAGAGUUAUCAUGAAUCACU
rnacentral:lncRNA from 1 species